rnacentral:rRNA from 1 species
UACGUAGGGGGCUAGCGUUGUCCGGAAUCAUUGGGCGUAAAGCGCGUGUAGGCGGCCCGGUAAGUCCGCUGUGAAAGUCGGGGGCUCAACCCUCGGAAGCCGGUGGAUACUGUCGGGCUCGAGUACGGAAGAGGCGAGAGGAAUUCCUGGUGUAGCGGUGAAAUGCGCAGAUAUCAGGAGGAACACCGAUUGCGAAGGCAGCUCGCUGGGACGUAACUGACGCUGAGACGCGAAAGCGUGGGGAGCAAACAGG